UACGUAGGGUGCAAGCGUUAAUCGGAAUUACUGGGCGUAAAGCGUGCGCAGGCGGUUUUGUAAGUUUGUCGUGAAAGCCCCGGGCUCAACCUGGGAAUUGCGAUGAAGACUGCAAGGCUUGAAUCUGGCAGAGGGGGGUAGAAUUCCACGUGUAGCAGGUGAAAUGCGUAGAGAUGUGGAGGAACACCGAUGGCGAAGGCAGCCCCCCUGGGCUGACACUGACGCCUCGAGGCGACCGAAAA
rnacentral:rRNA from 1 species